GAGGAGCGGAGGUGCCCUAGCCGUCGGAGGAGGAGCGAGGCUUGGCUCCCUGGGUCCUGCGUGAACUGUUCUUGAGGCGAGCACCUACCUGGAACCACCCUGGGUAGGAAACUGGGGGAAAUGGCGCUUCCGCUUGGCUAUACUGACACGGAAAAAUGUUGUAAGAACAAAACUGGAUGUCAUUGCUAUUCGUCACUGUUGGGAUUGAACUCACGACUGCCUGCUAUCAAGGGCAAGGUGUUCUAGAAACACGAGCCUGGCACAUUUGGCUUCCAGCUUCUGGUCUGGCCAUGUGAACCUCCACUCGCAUCCACCUUUAGCCCCUCACUAGAGGGUAAACCAAUGGAGCUGUCUGAUCUUGGACUUCCAGCCCCAAAACUGAGCUAGCAAUUGGCCUGGCAUGAAAGUUUUUGAACCAGAGCUUGGAGACUGAGACAGUGAGUCAACACUCAGAGUCAUCCCUCAGGCAAACCAGGAUGGUGUCAGCCUCAGCGCCACAAGAGAAAACACCUCAUCCUGUUAGCUGUCCAAAGUGCUAGCUAAACUUCUCCAAGAGUAAAGGAACUGUUUCUGAAAAAUUCAGCUCUCUCCUUCAACAUGGCACAGUUGAAGAUGGAAGACUGCCAUAAAUCAGCAGCUACACCAUUUUUUUUUUGUUUUUUAAUUUUUAUUUUGGAGAGAAUAAAACCAAAUGAGAGAAAACAAAAUGGGGUCAGUCAAAACAAAAGGAUGGACAUAGUACAUGACUCAAAACCAAAAUACAAAGUGAUCUACAAUGGUUA